UAGGGAAUCUUCCGCAAUGGACGCAAGUCUGACGGAGCAACGCCGCGUGAGUGAAGAAGGAUUUCGGUUCGUAAAACUCUGUUGUUAGAGAAGAACAGCGCAUAGAGUAACUGUUAUGCGUGUGACGGUAUCUAACCAGAAAGCCACGGCUAGCUACGUGCCAGCAGCCGCGGUAAUACGUAGGUGGCAAGCGUUGUCCGGAUUUAUUGGGCGUAAAGCGAGCGCAGGCGGUCAAUUAAGUCUGAUGUGAAAGCCCCCGGCUCAACCGGGGAGGGUCAUUGGAAACUGGUUGACUUGAGUGCAGAAGAGGAGAGUGGAAUUCCAUGUGUAGCGGUGAAAUGCGUAGAUAUAUGGAGGAACACCAGUGGCGAAGGCGACUCUCUGGUCUGUAACUGACGCUGAGGCUCGAAAGCGUGGGUAGCAAACAGG
rnacentral:rRNA from 1 species